rnacentral:rRNA from 1 species
UACGUAGGGGGCAAGCGUUGUCCGGAGUUAUUGGGCGUAAAGAGCGCGUAGGCGGUCCGAUAAGUCGGCUGUGAAAGUCAAGGGCUCAACCCUUGAAAGCCGACCGAUACUGUCGGACUAGAGUCCGGAAGAGGCGAGUGGAAUUCCCGGUGUAGCGGUGAAAUGCGCAGAUAUCAGGAGGAACACCCGUGGCGAAAGCGGCUCUCUGGGACGGUACUGACGCUGAGACGCGAAAGCGUGGGGAGCGAACAGG